GACGUAGGGCGCGAGCGUUGUCCGGAUUUAUUGGGCGUAAAGAGCUCGUAGGCGGCUUGUCGCGUCGACUGUGAAAUCCCGCGGCUCAACCGCGGGUCUGCAGUCGAUACGGGCAGGCUAGAGUUCGGUAGGGGAGACUGGAAUUCCUGGUGUAGCGGUGAAAUGCGCAGAUAUCAGGAGGAACACCGAUGGCGAAGGCAGGUCUCUGGGCCGAUACUGACACUGAGGAGCGAAAGCGUGGGGAGCGAACAGG
rnacentral:rRNA from 1 species